rnacentral:rRNA from 1 species
UACGUAGGGCGCAAGCGUUGUCCGGAAUUAUUGGGCGUAAAGAGCUCGUAGGCGGCUUGUCACGUCGGAUGUGAAAGCCCGGGGCUUAACUCCGGGUCUGCAUUCGAUACGGGCUGGCUAGAGUGUGGUAGGGGAGAUCGGAAUUCCUGGUGUAGCGGUGAAAUGCGCAGAUAUCAGGAGGAACACCGGUGGCGAAGGCGGUUCUCUGGGCCUUACCUGACGCUGAGGAGCGAAAGCGUGGGGAGCAAACAGG